GGUCCCAUCCACAAGGUCACAACAGAACGCACUGGACCACAGUCCUCAUGAGGCUGUACAGUUGUUUUAUCUUAUCAAGAAACGAAGCUCUGAAGGAAAGAUGGCGUGCCCAGGAAAAUCAGCAACAUGGCAGAGAAGGUGAGGAUUAGCUGCUUUUCCUAUUUCAAGGUCUGGAGGAGAAGUGAACAUGAACUCCUAGGACUGCUACACCGAAUUCUGAUAGCAACUAGCACAUGAUGUGAAAGUGCCUUAGGAAAAUUCCAAUGCUGUUGUGGAAAAUGCAGUGACGGUCUCCAACAGGACGCGGCUUGUCUGGGUCCCCAGCAGCUCUCCUGGGGCCAGCAGAUGCCAGCCGGUAGUGGGAGCUGGACCA